AUAUGCGUGGGCGCAAGCCUGACCGCCUGCCGCGGGAGUGAUGAAGGCCUUCGGGUUGUAAAGCUCUUUAGUCCACGAAUAUAAUGACUGUGGUGGAAGAAUAAGCCCCGGCUAACUUCGUGCCAGCAGCCGCGGUAAUACGAGGGGGGCGAGCGUUGUUCGGAAUCACUGGGCGUAAAGAGUGCGUAGGCGGUUAUGAAAGUUAGAAGUGAAAGCCCAGAGCUCAACUCUGGAAUUGCUUUUAAAACUACAUAACUCGAAUUCGGGAGAGGAUAGCGGAAUUGUCAGUGUAGCAGUGAAAUGCGUAGAUAUUGACAGGAACACCAGUGGCGUAAGCGGCUAUCUGGACCGACAUUGACGCUGAGGCACGA
rnacentral:rRNA from 1 species